rnacentral:rRNA from 1 species
UACGUAGGGGGCAAGCGUUGUCCGGAAUUAUUGGGCGUAAAGCGCGCGCAGGCGGCUAAUUAAGUCUGGUGUUAAUCCCGGAGCUCAACUCCGGGUCGCACGGGAAACUGGUUGGCUUGAGUACAGAAGAGGAAAGUGGAAUUCCACGUGUAGCGGUGGAAAUGACGUAGAGAUGUGGAGGAACACCAGUGGCGAAGGCGACUUCUGGCUGUAACUGACGCUGAGGCGCG